rnacentral:rRNA from 1 species
GAUGAACGCUGGCGGCGUGCCUAAUACAUGCAAGUCGAGCGAACAGACGAGGAGCUUGCUCCUCUGACGUUAGCGGCGGACGGGUGAGUAACACGUGGAUAACCUACCUAUAAGACUGGGAUAACUUCGGGAAACCGGAGCUAAUACCGGAUAAUAUCUUGAACCGCAUGGUUCAAUAGUGAAAGACGGUUUUGCUGUCACUUAUAGAUGGAUCCGCGCCGCAUUAGCUAGUUGGUAAGGUAACGGCUUACCAAGGCAACGAUGCGUAGCCGACCUGAGAGGGUGAUCGGCCACACUGGAACUGAGACACGGUCCAGACUCCUACGGGAGGCAGCAGUAGGGAAUCUUCCGCAAUGGGCGAAAGCUUGACGGAGCAACGCCGCGUGAGUGAUGAAGGUCUUCGGAUCGUAAAACUCUGUUAUUAGGGAAGAACAAAUGUGUAAGUAACUAUGCACGUCUUGACGGUACCUAAUCAGAAAGCCACGGCUAACUACGUG